UAGGGAAUAUUGGUCAAUGGAUGCAAGUCUGAACCAGCCAUGCCGCGUGCAGGAAGAAGGCCCUAUGGGUUGUAAACUGCUUUUGCCAGGGGAUAAAAAGGCUCUGCGGAGCGAAUUGAAGGUACCUGGUGAAUAAGCCACGGCCAACUACGUGCCAGCAGCCGCGGUAAUACGUAGGGUCCGAGCGUUGUCCGGAAUUAUUGGGCGUAAAGGGCUCGUAGGCGGUCUGUCGCGUCGGGAGUGAAAACCAGGUGCUUAACACCUGGCCUGCUUUCGAUACGGGCAGACUAGAGGUACUCAGGGGAGAAUGGAAUUCCUGGUGUAGCGGUGAAAUGCGCAGAUAUCAGGAGGAACACCGGUGGCGAAGGCGGUUCUCUGGGAGUAUCCUGACGCUGAGGAGCGAAAGUGUGGGGAGCGAA
rnacentral:rRNA from 1 species